AUUGAACGCUGGCGGCAUGCCUUACACAUGCAAGUCGAACGGUAACAGGUCUUCGGAUGCUGACGAGUGGCGAACGGGUGAGUAAUACAUCGGAACGUGCCCGAUCGUGGGGGAUAACGGAGCGAAAGCUUUGCUAAUACCGCAUGCGAUCUACGGAUGAAAGCAGGGGACCGCAAGGCCUUGCGCGGACGGAGCGGCCGAUGGCAGAUUAGGUAGUUGGUGGGAUAAAAGCUUACCAAGCCGACGAUCUGUAGCUGGUCUGAGAGGACGACCAGCCAGACUGGGACGGAGACACGGCCCAGACUCCUACGGGAGGCAGCAGUGGGGAAUUUUGGACAAUGGGCGAAAGCCUGAUCCAGCCAUGCCGCGUGCAGGAUGAAGGCCUUCGGGUUGUAAACUGCUUUUGUACGGAACGAAAAGACUCCUUCUAAUAAAGGGGGUCCAUGACGGUACCGUAAGAAUAAGCACCGGCUAACUACGUGCCAGCAGCCGCCGUAAGAC
rnacentral:rRNA from 1 species